AGUGGGGAAUAUUGGACAAUGGGCGCAAGCCUGAUCCAGCCAUGCCGCGUGAGUGAUGAAGGCCCUAGGGUUGUAAAGCUCUUUCACCGGUGAAGAUAAUGACGGUAACCGGAGAAGAAGCCCCGGCUAACUUCGUGCCAGCAGCCGCGGUAAUACGAAGGGGGCUAGCGUUGUUCGGAUUUACUGGGCGUAAAGCGCACGUAGGCGGACUUUUAAGUCAGGGGUGAAAUCCCGGGGCUCAACCCCGGAACUGCCUUUGAUACUGGAAGUCUUGAGUAUGGUAGAGGUGAGUGGAAUUCCGAGUGUAGAGGUGAAAUUCGUAGAUAUUCGGAGGAACACCAGUGGCGAAGGCGGCUCACUGGACCAUUACUGACGCUGAGGUGCGAAAGCGUGGGGAGCAAA
rnacentral:rRNA from 1 species